rnacentral:rRNA from 1 species
GACGAACCGUGCGAACGUUAUUCGGAAUCACUGGGCUUAAAGCGCGUGUAGGCGGAUGAGCACGUCUGUCGCUGAAAUCCCCCGGCUCAACCGGGGAACGGGCGCGGAUACGGCUCGUCUCGAGGGGCGUAGGGGGACCUGGAACUUCCGGUGGAGCGGUGAAAUGCGUUGAGAUCGGAAGGAGCGCCCGUGGCGAAAGCGAGGUCCUGGACGCCUACUGACGCUGAGACGCGAAAGCCAGGGGAGACGAACGGG